rnacentral:rRNA from 1 species
UGUGACGAGUUGAUCAUGGCUCAGAACGACGCUGGCGGCGCGCCUAACACAUGCAAGUCGAACGAGAAUCCGGGGCAACCCGGUAGUAAAGUGGCAAACGGGUGAGGAAUACAUGGGUAACCUACCCUUGAGAAGGGAAUAACCCGCCGAAAGGUGAGCUAAUACCCUAUACGCUANCUUUUUUUCGAAAAGGAUAGGAAAGCCGGGUCGAGGACCUGGUACUCAAGGAGGGGCUCAUGUCCUAUCAGCUUGUUGGUGGGGUAACGGCCUACCAAGGCUACGACGGGUAGCUGGUCUGAGAGGAUGAUCAGCCACACCGGCACUGAGAUACGGGCCAGACUCCUACGGGAGGCAGCAGUGAGGAAUAUUGCGCAAUGGGCGAAAGCCUGACGCAGCGACGCCGCGUGGGGGAUGAAGGUUUUCGGAUUGUAAACCCCUUUCAUGAGGAAAGAUAAAGUGGGUAACCACUUAGACGGUACCUCAAGAAGAAGCCACGGCUAACUUCGUG